CCAGACUCCUACGGGAGGCAGCAGUGGGGGAUAUUGCACAAUGGGGGAAACCCUGAUGCAGCGACGCCGCGUGGGUGAAGAAGUAUUUCGGUAUGUAAAGCCCUAUCAGCAGGGAAGAAAGAAGACGGUACCUGACUAAGAAGCCCCGGCUAACUACGUGCCAGCAGCCGCGGUAAUACGUAGGGGGCGAGCGUUAUCCGGAUUCACUGGGUGUAAAGGGAGCGUAGACGGCCGUGCAAGCCAGGAGUGAAAGCCCGGGGCCCAACCCCGGGACUGCUCUUGGAACUGUGCGGCUAGAGUGCAGGAGAGGUAAGUGGAAUUCCUAGUGUAGCGGUGAAAUACGUAGAUAUUAGGAGGAACACCAGUGGCGAAGGCGGCUUACUGGACUGUAACUGACGUUGAGGCUCGAAAGCGUGGGGAGCAAACAGGAUUAGAUACCCCAGUA
rnacentral:rRNA from 1 species